rnacentral:misc_RNA from 1 species
UCACCCCUCAAGCUCCGGCUUGGUGUUGAGGCCUGCUGUAAAGGCACCCUCUAAAAUCAGUGGCAGUGCCGUCAGGCUCUAAGCGUAGUAAUUUCAUCGCUAUAGACCCGAGCGGACCCUCGCCAGAAACCCCCCAUUUUUUAAU